rnacentral:rRNA from 1 species
UGAGAGGGUGUCCGGCCACACUGGGUACUGAGAUACGGCCCAGACUCCUAUGGGAGGCAGCAGUGGGGAAUAUUGCACAAUGGGCGCGAGCCUGAUGCAGCGACGCCGCGUGGGGGAUGACGGCCUUCGGGUUGUAAACCUCUUUCAGUACCGACGAAGCGCAAGUGACGGUAGGUACAGAAGAAGCACCGGCCAACUACGUGCCAGCAGCCGCGGUAAUACGUAGGGUGCGAGCGUUGUCCGGAAUUACUGGGCGUAAAGAGCUCGUAGGUGGUUUGUCGCGUUGUUCGUGAAAACUCACAACUCAAUUGUGGGCGUGCGGGCGAUACGGGCAGACUGGAGUACUGCAGGGGAGACUGGAAUUCCUGGUGUAGCGGUGGAAAGGGCAGAUAUCAGGAGGAACACCGGUGGCGAAGGCGGGUUCUUCUGGGCAGUAACUGAACGCUGAGGAGCGAAAGGCGUGGGGAGCGAACAGGAAUUAGAUAACCCUGGUAGUCCAACGCCGUAAACGGUGGGUAGCUAGGUGUGGGUUUCCUUCCUGGGGAUCCGUGCCGUAGCUAACGCAUUAAGUACCCCGCCUGGGGAGUCA